rnacentral:siRNA from 1 species
GUCGGGUCCAGUUGGGUUUGGGU